rnacentral:ncRNA from 1 species
GUGUUGUAUAAAAAAAGAGAAUAUUAGUAUUCCUUUUGAUGAGAAAGGGAUGAAGUCCUAGUGGCUUCUAUAACAUAUCUAUCCCCUAUGCCAAAAUGAGAACAGUUGUUG